rnacentral:rRNA from 1 species
CUACGGGGCGCACCAGUGAGGAAUUUUGCGCAAUGGGGGAAACCCUGACGCAGCAACGCCGCGUGAGUGAAGAAGGCCUUCGGGUCGUAAAGCUCUGUCAGAUAGGAAGAAAGUUCAUAUGUAAAUAGCUUAUGAAUCUGAUGGUACUAUCAGAGGAAGCACCGGCUAACUCCGUGCCAGCAGCCGCGGUAAUACGGAGGGUGCAAGCGUUGUUCGGAAUUACUGGGCGUAAAGGGCGUGUAGGCGGUAUGGUAAGUCAGAUGUGAAAGCCCUGGGCUUAACUCAGGAAGUGCAUUUGAUACUGCCAUCCUUGAGUAUGGGAGAGGAGAGUAGAAUUCCAAGUGUAGAGGUGAAAUGCGUAGAUAUUGGGAGGAAUACCCGUGGCGAAGGCGACUCUCUGGACCAAUACUGACGCUGAGACGCGAAAGCGUGGGGAGCAAACAGGAUUAGAUACCCUCGUAGUC